GAUGAACGCUGGCGGCGUGCCUAAUACAUGCAAGUCGAGCGAACAGACGAGGAGCUUGCUCCUCUGACGUUAGCGGCGGACGGGUGAGUAACACGUGGAUAACCUACCUAUAAGACUGGGAUAACUUCGGGAAACCGGAGCUAAUACCGGAUAAUAUAUUGAACCGCAUGGUUCAAUAGUGAAAGACGGUUUUGCUGUCACUUAUAGAUGGAUCCGCGCCGCAUUAGCUAGUUGGUAAGGUAACGGCUUACCAAGGCAACGAUGCGUAGCCGACCUGAGAAGGUGACCCGCCACACUGGAACUGAGCCAAGGUCCAGAAUCCUACGGGAGGCAGCGGUAGGGAAUCUUCCGCAAUGGGCGAAAGCCUGACGGAGCAACGCCGCGUGAGUGAUGAAGGUCUUCGGAUCGUAAAACUCUGUUAUUCGGGAAGAACAAAUGUGUAAGUAACUAUGCACGUCUUGACGGUACCUAAUCAGAAAGCCACGGCUAACUCCGUG
rnacentral:rRNA from 1 species